UGUUCAUGCUUGUGUUGCUCCCCAACUCUUUUUACAUCUGAAUGUUGCUCACGGGUGGAAAAAGGUUGGGGAUCCCUGGUCUACAGGUUGCAUGGUCUUUCUUGUUUCAUUAACAAGUAGUGUCUAUCUGAGAUAACUGCACUGCAUGCUGGGAUACGUAUGCACCUUGCAGUCUGGGUGAAGAACAUUUAGUACAAAGGAGUCCGAGCUUCCUAUUUAGGCUUUUUAUAAAAUCCUUAUUUGAUCAAAAUUGUUUAUAUGUCCAUCAUCCCCAACAGAUUUUGAUGAUGGUAUUUCAGCCAUUUUGUCUGUCAACCAAUUUAUAUAGAAAUCUGUUCUGCACUCCAGACCUGGCUAAAAACAUACAUUCCUACAGGAGAUGUCAAUGUUGGCAAAAUGAGAGGAAAAUCUGAUGGAAACCUUGUUUAUUAAAAAUGUUGUGUCACUGAAAUUCUGUGAAACUUGUGAAUUUCAGUCAAACUUUCCAAGCUUAGUGUAACGAAGCUUUUGGAAUGUCCAAAGCAGCCCACAUCUAAAGGGAUGAUCUUUAUGGUGUCCAUUAAAUGUGAUGAGAAAGACCAACUUGGAGGUAGUUGUGGCUGAAAAAUGGAACAUUUCAGUGUUAGGUAAUAACUAUAAUAAGUGCUGCCUUUCCUUGUACAACAUGAACUAUCAAAGGAUGGUCAAGAUUUUACAGUGGCUUCACACCUUCAUCGCCACCAUUUAUUUAUAUAGCACCAGUGAGUUAGCAAAAGUUUGAUUACUACUUUAACACUCAAGCAUUUAAAAUUUAAGCAGAAUAAAACAAGGCCAUUAUUCGGCCCUGCUCAUACAGGUGUAUAGUCUGGAAGAUCAGUAGAACACAUUUACCAUAAAGUUGUAGAAGAGUUUUGGUGAUAAUCCAUUAUAAUAUCCAGAAAAGCUGGAUGAAAUGAGGUUGAGUUGUGAGGGGAGAAGGUUCCAAAUGUCCAAAGAGCUAAAAACAAAUGGGACUGGGUUGUGAUGUGAGAAGAAUAAAAAAUGGUUGAAAGCAGAAUGGAGGACAGAAGCUCAAGAGAAGGGGGGUUGGUUGUGAUGGGAGAAGAACAGCAAAUCCUGAAAGCAGAGUGGAGGACAGAAGGUCAAGAGAAUGGGGUUGAGUUAUGAGGGUUAAGAGAAGCAAUCAAACUCCGGAGACCGGAGUGGAGUGUAGAAGCUCAAGGGAAAAAGAAUGGAUUACAAGUGGGGAAGAGAAGCAAAUGUUGAAAGCAGAGAUACAUGUAGGAGCUCAAGAAUAUGGGGUUGGGUUAAGAGGAAGAAGUUAAACAGUGGCCCAAAGUAGAGUGGAGUAUAGAAGCUUAAGUGUAUGGCGGUUGGGUUAUGAUUUGAGUAGUGAAUCCUGUAAUCAGUGGAGAUGAGAAAAGAAGGUUGAGAGCACAAGAUUGGUCAAUGAUGGAAAAAGAAGAGACAAGAGCAGAGAGGAGUGAAGAAUCUCUAGACAAUAGAGUUGGGUUACGAGAGGAAGUGUCCAAAGUAAAGUGCAGUGAAGAAGCUUGAAGUAAUGCAGCUGGGUUAUAAAUGGGACAAGAAGCAAAGAGAGAAUAGGGACAUGGUAAGAUGAUUUGCACAGUGCAUUGUAGUUGGGAAACAGAAGAACAGGUGGUGAUUCUAGGGGUAUUGUGGGUCCACUUGGUCCGAACUACCACAAGUUGGGGAUGACAAAGGAAUGCUUGUAUCAUUCAGCAUGUUGCUUGAUAACUGCUGUCUUGCCAUCCUUCACCUUUGGAGCAUGACGUGACUUCAUUUUGCAUGAGACAAAAACAUGUACGUUUGGAGGUCUCCUAUUCAUGUGACUGCUGGCUGGUUUUACAGAUGGAGCACUCAGAAGGUAUGGUAAAGCAAAUAGGGGCUUUCUCUGAUGGAAUCAAUAACCUCACAAACAUGCUCAGUCAAGAUGAGCUGCUAAAAAAUUAUAGGUUCUUAUCUGCAUAUGAUACUUGGAGAUAGACCAAAGGAGGACUCCAUAUUUCAGUAUUCCCAUGGAUGCUUAAAACAAUGCCAGAAACUCAAUGGCAAAUCGAAAACAGGCCACUUGUCUGUACAGGAUAAACUGCAUGGGACACACGGAGGCCCAUUUACUAAAGGUGCUAUAUUGCUCCAGUGCAGAGAUGUUAGCUUUCAUUUUCUAGUUAAAUCAGUCCUGAUCAAAUGCCUCUAAGGGCCUUGUAAGAUGAGUAAAUAGCACUUCAGGGCCACAUAGGAAGAGAGAGCAGUGCCUUUCUCUAGCUGUGUAAUAAAGGUAGUUCCAGAAGGCCCAGAUUCAGUUUGUCAUCAGUCAAAAUGGAACUGGGUUGAAUCUAUAGUGGACAAUGGUACUUUUUGUCAGUAGCAUCAAUUUUAAAGUGCAUGGCACAUAAAGGGUUAAGCCAUUGGCCACUAUCAUUGUUAUUUUUUUCUUAUUUUCUUAUUUUUAUAUCAGGAACUCUUUUAUGGCUUUAGCCUCUUCCCUGCACUAUAAUUGUAUAUUACACCCAAAACUGUAUAGGGAGAUCUCUGCUUUUAUCCAUUGCUGUUAUCUGUUACAUUAAUGAGUGCAAUAAAGUUGUGUAUUUUUUUUUUA